AUUGUUAGAUGACCAGAUAAUAAGUGACAUGGCUGCACUUAAGGCUGAGCUCAGUGCCUUAAAAUCUCGCGUAGCAGACCAAGGCAAAAAAAUGAAAAUCUGAGAAAGCAGCUGGAAGGAAAGGGCAGCGGUGCUCCUGCCCACUCUGAAGGCCAGAAGAGACCAGCUUCCUCAGCCGACUGGACUCCUGAACGGAAGCAGAGAUGGUCUGAAGAGCUGGACAAGAUCCUGAUGCCUUUCUGGCCAGAGAGAUCCAAUGCAUGCGAGAAGCUGACUGAAAGGCAACAGGCCUUCUUCAGCUAUAUGAUGGACGUGCUGAAAAUCAAAGAUCGGAGAAACCUGGAGACGAACGCGGCGGCGGUCCUCAACGAAGGGGUUUCCAGGGGCGUCUGGGAGGAGGACUGGACUCCUGCGGGAAUUAAAGUGACAUUCAAACAAUACCUUGUAGAAAAAAAAAAAAAUCACAUUACAGAGAGACAAAAGAAACUCUUCCAGAAGAGAGAACUAGAUAGGCUCAGAAAAAUGGUUGGUUAGGAAGAAGUGGGCCUGUUCAGUUGGGUUUAUUUCUAAGUUUGUGUUAAUGUUGUUUAUUGUGUUCAUUGUAUAGUUUUCAUGUAUAAAAAGCAUUGCAGCAUUUAGUAGUAUAGCACAACACAACACAACAAUACACAGUUAUAGCCACACUCUCUAAAUAUUUAUAUGUAGGGUAAUUUAUUUUAUUUACCUGUGACAUUUUAUUUUUAUUUUAUUUUUGAUGUUUCUUCCAUUCUGUUUUGGUCGUUUCUUUUGAACAUUAAACAGUUUGUGUUGCAAUAUCUGUGUCAAACUGUUUGUGUGUUUUCCCCCAAAUUGCAUUACUGUUCAAUAAUUUGUGCCAUAUACAUAUAGUUUGACUUUUCACUUUCACUUUUCACUUUAAAUGAACUAAAGCAAAUUAGAAGUAGAACAGCAGAAGACUCAACUGGUUUGUCUUGAAUGUCGGUGUCUCAAGUUGUCUACCAGAGGGCAGCAGAGGCUUUUAUAAUGUGAAGUCCCUAGGUUCUGUUCUCUGUUAUCGCCUAAAGUUUAACAGGGAUGCAGAUUAUUAAAGUUAUACUCAUCUUUAUGAAUAGGUGGGGUGCCAAGCAACAUCACUGUCCUUUGGUCUAAAAUGAAAUGCACCGGUGCUUUGCUGUGAGAGGGAAAACAUCGAGUGCUCUUCAGCAGUGCCCACAGGUGUCAGUUUAAGCUAUAUUAUAGGGGACACUGUGGGCUCACACUAAUUCCUAUCCCCCUCUGUGACCGUGUUGUAAAUCAAUCCUGUUGACUUGCACUGCUGUUCGGUCACUGACACAAUCUUCUGCUGAUCAAGGUAAUAGACAGUUUGCUCAUUUUCCAUAUUCCAAGUGAUGUUUGUACAUAUGCGUUCACACACGUGUGGUUUUGAGACUCGGCUUCUAAGUGGAUAAAUUACAGUUACUGUACAUGGGUAGCAGUUGGCAUGUUAAUCUACAAAUUGGCCGCGCAGAUGAUCCAGCUUUUAAACGUGGUGUUAUUACCCUGUAGUACUUUGACUAUAGCAAAUGUGCAGUAAGUUUUUUUUCUGUUUUCUUUCUUUUUUCAGUUUUACUAGAAGUAGCAUGGCUGAGUUAUGGUUAGUGUAGUGAAACACUGAUUAAUUUGUCUCUCUUGAUCAAAUUGUAUAUUAUUAUAAACACCCCUGGAUCUUUAUCGUUUGCACUUUUUGAAUGGUGGUUAUUUGUCAUUUUUCAUGCUUGAUCUGACAGAAACGAACUUUGCAACAGACUGUAUUUCAAAGCAUGACAAUGGAAGAAGGUUAGACUUGAUUUAGUUGAAAUGAUACUGCCAUGCAAAUUUGGUCCCACUCUAUCAAAUGUCUUUAACCCUCUGAAGUCGGCUAACGCGGAUACGAGUUUUGAGGCAAAUUCUCAUGAUAAGACCGAAAAGAACUUAAAUUACACUUUCAGUUUUGAUCAUACUGAUAAAAGCAAUACAUCGAACGAAUCUGUAAAGGGUCUACUUUUAUUUGUAUACACACAUGAUAACAACAAAACUUUGUGCAUUUAUAAAAUAAAGAAAACAAACAGAGUGCGCUGUCUGCAGCCUUGGUCUGCGGUGAUCUUUAUUUAGAAACGCGUCACUAAAAUGAACUGUAACUCAGUGAAUACUCAACACAGAGACAUGAGAGAUAUAUCUAUAGAAAGCUUGACAUGUCUACUUUUAAACUAAGCAAGUGCUAUCGACGUGACACUCGCUUAUAACCGCCCUCAUCAGAGCAAACAAAGCAGCGAGACUGUACUUCACGUUUUUAAUUGUUACUGUUCGCUUCGCGCUGAGAUGAAUAAGUCAUAAUUCACCUCAACAAGACCGCUGAGAGGAAUAAGAUUUGGAUUACCUCAGAAAGAAGAACGAAGCAGCUUGACCCAGCAGAGAUAAACAUAAGUCUUUUUUUAUAUUAAUCUACUUGUAUUAGUUUUCAUAUAACUUGUACACAUUUUACUAGUUAGACUUUUUCCAGACUAUAAUUCCUGACUAAAUGUAUAAUCAGGUGAAACAUUAUGAAGUUUCAUUUACAUCAUCUCAAUGUUUCACGAUGCCAGGAUGUUUUUUUAUAUUUUAUUUAUGUUCUAUACCAUAGACAGCUCUGGUGUAAAUAUUUUUAAUGUGUU
rnacentral:lncRNA from 1 species